rnacentral:rRNA from 1 species
CAGCCUUGCUGAAUUAUUCACCCUUGUCUUUUGCGUACUUCUUGUUUCCUUGGUGGGUUCGCCCACCACUAGGACAAACAUAAACCUUUUGUAAUUGCAAUCAGCGUCAGUAACAAAUUAAUAAUUACAACUUUCAACAACGGAUCUCUUGGUUCUGGCAUCGAUGAAGAACGCAGCGAAAUGCGAUAAGUAGUGUGAAUUGCAGAAUUCAGUGAAUCAUCGAAUCUUUGAACGCACAUUGCGCCCUUUGGUAUUCCAAAGGGCAUGCCUGUUCGAGCGUCAUUUGUACCCUCAAGCUUUGCUUGGUGUUGGGCGUCUUGUCUCUAGCUUUGCUGGAGACUCGCCUUAAAGUAAUUGGCAGCCGGCCUACUGGUUUCGGAGCGCAGCACAAGUCGCACUCUCUAUCAGCAAAGGUCUAGCAUCCAUUAAGCCUUUUUUUCAACUUUUGACCUCGGAUCAGGUAGGGAUACCCGCUGAACUUAAGCAUAUCAAUA